CCGGCCUUGAGGCCGCUGUGCGGACUCACGUUGAUGAUGGCGUCCGUCUGGAUGUAGUCCAUGUCCGAGUCCCGGAGGCCCAGCUCCCGGCCGUCCCGCUGGGCUGUGCUGACGAUGCCAGUGGUCACCGUGUUCUGCAGGGCGAAGGGGCUGCCGAUGGCCACCACGAACUCGCCGGGCCGCAGCAGCUCUUGAUAAAGCAGGAAAAAUGCUGUACACAGAAGUGAGGGUUAAGGAGGCGUUGAGCAGCUGUGCCCACGUGGGAGGCAUGGAGCCUCAACGCGCCACGUUCUGUGUUGCUGGGCAGUGAAGCCUCUGCAAGAGGCACACGAGGUCCCAGGGGUCCUCGGGCAGGGGGUGCAUACUAUGGCCCUCGGCCAAAUCCAGCCAGAUCCAGCAGCCUCUUCUGUAAACACAUCUUUCCCUGGACUGCAGCCCAGCCAUCUGUCUGGCCUGUGGCUGCCUUCCCAGGACGGUUCCCAGUGGAGAGGUUGCGACAGAGACCACGGGCCCUGCAAAGUCUGCAUCGUUCACUGUCCGCGCUUCACGGAAAACGUCUGCCAACCUCUGACCUUGAGUAUGGCCCUCCCGUCACCCCCAGUUUCCCCGUCUCCAACAUAGAGGUGGUGCCCUGGGCUCAGGAACAACUGUCACAGGGCUCCGAAAGUGGGCGAGGGUCUCCCUUAGGAUAAUUUCGUGGAGUCACUGAAUUCCCUCUCGCGUGACCAGGCGAGAGGAGGCCUCCUUGCAAGACACUGAUCAUCUCAAGUCCUGGCAACUUUUAUUCAGAAAGAGCAGAAGCUGGGUGCAAGCUCAACCAAGCUGGACUCACCAGCCCACAUGGGCCCCCCUCAACCGCCGCCGCCUCCAUGGACUUCAUGGCGUGGGCAGGGCACAGGUCAACCCAGGUGAGCCCACGGUGCCCCAUGGAGCUGGGACCAUGAAGCUGAACAGCAAGAAGCAUGCAGGAGGGAGUCACCCCUUCUGUGACCCCCAGGGGGACAGUGGCAUCUGCAGGAAUAGGCCCAGGAGGGACAAUGGAAGUGUCCCCAGCCUUGGAGACCCUCCACCCUCCAUGUGGGAGCGGCAUAUUUCCUUAGGGCCCUGCAGGGCGGUGUCCAGAUAUCGGGGUUGUAGUCUGACUAGACCCAAGACUAGGACGUGUUGCCAGUCCCCAGGGGCCUCGGUUCCUCUGAGUGUCUGACGGGAAAGUGGGGCUGAGAGGUCCCUGAGCCCCAGGGUCCAGGAAGGGCUCCCCCCCAACUCACCUUGGGGUGGAUCUUGAUGGUGGCGAUGUCCGACUUCUUGUCGAUGUCCUUGAUGGUGGCCUCGUAGGUGUCACCAUUCUGCAGCUGCACCUUGAGCUGCUGCCGGCCUGAGACAGUGUUGGUGCUGGACACCACGUGAGCGUUGGUGACGAUCAAGCCCGCUGCCGACAUGAUGAAGCCUGAGCCGCUGGACAGGGGCACGUUGCGGCCAA